UACGUAGGGGGCAAGCGUUGUCCGGAUUUAUUGGGCGUAAAGAGCGUGUAGGCGGCCAGGUAGGUCGGUUGUGAAAACUGGAGGCUCAACCUCCAGACGUCGACCGAAACCAUCUGGCUAGAGUCCGGAAGAGGAGAGUGGAAUUCCUGGUGUAGCGGUGAAAUGCGCAGAUAUCAGGAAGAACACCCGGUGGCGAAGGCGGUCUC
rnacentral:rRNA from 1 species